AUUGAACGCUGGCGGCAUGCCUUACACAUGCAAGUCGAACGGCAGCACGGGAGCAAUCCUGGUGGCGAGUGGCGAACGGGUGAGUAAUAUAUCGGAACGUGCCCAGUCGUGGGGAUAACGUAGCGAAAGCUACGCUAAUACCGCAUACGAUCUAUGGAUGAAAGCGGGGGAUCGCAAGACCUCGCGCGAUUGGAGCGGCCGAUAUCAGAUUAGGUAGUUGGUGAGGUAAAGGCUCACCAAGCCGACGAUCUGUAGCUGGUCUGAGAGGACGACCAGCCACACUGGGACUGAGACACGGCCCAGACUCCUACGGGAGGCAGCAGUGGGGAAUUUUGGGACAAUGGCGCAAGCCUGAUCCAGCAAUGCCGCGUGCAGGAUG
rnacentral:rRNA from 1 species